AGGACAAACGCUGGCGGCGUACCUAAGACAUGCAAGUCGAACGGGCGCAACACCCUUCGGGGUGAAGUGUUAGUGGCGGACGGGUGAGUAACGCGUAGGAACCUAUCGCACAGUGGGGGAUACCACUGGGAAACCGGUGCUAAUACCGCAUGUGGUCAGCGAUGAAGAAAGCGGCCCACGCGAGUGGGUGGCGCUGUGUGAGGGGCCUGCGUCCGAUUAGCUGGUUGGUGGGGUAAAGGCCUACCAAGGCGACGAUCGGUAGCUGGU
rnacentral:rRNA from 1 species